CUGACCGUAAACAAUGCCAACUAGCGAUCCGCCGGCGGAUUUCAUCGCCCCUGGUGGGGAGCUUCCCGGAAACGAAAGUCUUCCGGUUCCGGGGGAAGUAUGGUUGCAAAGCUGAAACUUAAAGGAAUUGACGGAAGGGCACCACCAGGAGUGGAGCCUGCGGCUUAAUUUGACUCAACACGGGGAAACUCACCCGGCCCGGACACCGUAAGGAUUGACAGAUUGAUAGCUUUUUCAUGAUUCGGUGGAUGGUGGUGCAUGGCCGUUCUUAGUUCGUGGAGCGAUUUGUCUGGUUUAUUCCGAUAACGAGCGAGACUCUGGCCUACUAAAUAGUUGGAGCAUUGCCGCUGUGCUCACACACUUCUUAGAGGGAUUGUCGGUGUUCAGCCGCACGAAAUUGAGCAAUAACAGGUCUGUGAUGCCCUUAGAUGUCCGGGGCUGCACGCGCGCUACUACUGGAACAAUCAGCGUGCUUGUCCUUGCCCGAGAGGGCGUG
rnacentral:rRNA from 1 species